AUAUAAUAAUAACAAUCGAGUAUGCCAUAGCCAUUUGCCCAAUGCCAUUAGGCAACGUGAAUUUUGUCAUCAUUAAUGGAGCGAAUGAACGAUGCGACUACGAUGACAAAAUAAAUGUUUUGUCAUGAUGGAUGACUAUGUGAGCGUGGUAAAUACGGCAGAGCAAGUACCUGUAAAAGUUAUGGUUAAGCUGCUUUAUUUUAAUAUGUUCAUGAAAUAAUUAAAAUGUGGUGAGUACCAUUCUAAAAAUUCUGGCAGCAAUAGGAUUGGCUUUUACCAAAUUGUACAUUCCUGAUUCUUUACUUCUUAGGUGCCGUACAAUUGACUUGAGACAAAACAUUCAAAAUACAUUUUUAAUAAUUUGUAUAGGAACUUAUUAUGUUAAUUUUUACUUGACAAUAAUGGAAAUAACAUCCUUGAUGACUACUUUCUGGAAAUACUAAGCGGAUUGCAUUAAUUAGUCCAAGUUCAAAAUCCGUGAUUAUAGUCAAUUUAUCGUACUGUAGUGGUAAAACAUUACGGACAUAUUUAAAUAACCCUACAUAUAUUUCCUCAGUUUUACCUCAUUUCUAUGAAUCACUUGAAAGGUGAACAAUUGAUAGCAGUCGUUAUCCAAUGUUUUGGGAACCGUCUUAAAAGUUCCAUCACACCCAGAUAUUGUAACCUACAAAUGAAUAUUUUAGCAAGUUUUCUAUUAUUUCUUCAACCACACUAGAUAACUUACAUUAUGUAAUUCGUUUUGAAUUGACUCGAUAUGAUGUUUGUUACAGAAUAGUACACCGACAAAUAAACCAUUAACUAUGAGUGGACCUUGAUAAAAUCUUGGAUUCUUCGGUGUUGGAGGGAACACUGAUCUUCGUAUUUGCCGCAUCCUUUCAGCUGCUUGCAAAAAUGUAUAAUUUUCAGCUCCUUCAGGAUGGCUGUUGUAUUAAACAUUUUUUUUGUAUAGAUCGUGCUGAGUAUGGCCGAGCAAUUUGUUGAACACAUUGAUGUCCAAUUGAACUUCGGAGUUUCCUCAUUUCUAUAUUUGAUGGUCGCACUUCAUGGUUAUGUAACCUCCGUAGUUGAAAAUGUGUAUUUUUUGGAUCAGAAGA